CAAAAAUCAGACUUGGUACCUCAGGUGUCUACAAGCAACCUUCCGAGUUCUUCAGAAGUGCAGUUAAAAAACAAAGCAGGCUGCAGCUGGUUGAGAUGGGUGAUGUGAGAUGGAGCCUGAUUGGUUUCGUUUCUCAAAUACUGAACCAAGGGAGAGCGCAGGCACGUCACCUCGGCUUUUACACUCCACAGCACAACACCCAGCUACUCCAACAUCAGCGGUGUUCACAGCUGCAGCACAUCAGCCAACAGACUUAUGGCUGAGCGGUUGUUGCUUCUGCAUGUUUACCCUCACAUCAUUAGCUCAUAGAGUUGGAAAGGUAACUUACACUAUAUGAUCAAAAAAGUCUCUGGACACCAGACAACGAGCUUGU